rnacentral:lncRNA from 1 species
UAAUUCUAAUAGAAUAUUAACAAUGCUCUAAUUACACCAUAAUAAUGCUAAGCAAGCUUAAUCAAAUUCAAAAAAACCUCAAAGAGAUUUCAAACAAACAAUAAGAAUUCUUAAAGAAAUAUUAGAAGGAUCACAAAUAUCACUCAAAUACAUCUCAAUUCAAUCUUAAUUUAAUUCUAGUUAAAAUCCUAUUGAACUUCAUUCAAACUUUAGGCCAAAACUAAUUAAAUCUUAAAUCCUAAUAAAAUCCUAAAUCCUAAAUCAAAUCCUAAACAAACCUUAAACCAAACUCCAACCAAAUCCUAAACCAAAUCCUAAAUCUUAAAUCAAACCCUAACCAAAUCCUAAUCCAAAUCUUAAAUCCUAAAUCAAACCCUAAUCAAAUCCUAAAUCCAAACCCUAUACUCAAAUCCAAAAUCCUAAAUCAAACCCUAAAUCUUAUCCAAAUCCUAAUCCAAAUCCUAAACCCUAAACCAAAUCCUAAACCAAACCCUAAAUCCUAAAUCAAACCCUAAUCAAAUCCUAAAUCAUAAAUAAAUCCUAAAUCAAAUCCUAAUCCAAAUUUUAAAUCCUAAAUCAAAUCCUAACCAAAUCCUAAACCCUAAAUCAAAUCCUAAUCAAAUCCUUAAUCCUAAAUCAAAUCCUAAAUCAAAUCCUAAUUAAAUCCUAACCAAACCCUAAUCCAAAUCUUAAACCAAAUCCUAAAUCCUAAGUCAAACCCUAACUAAAUCCUAACCAAAUCCUAAAAUAAAUUCUAAAUCCUAAAUCAAAUCCUAAAUCAAAUCCUAAACCCUA